CACAUCCAUACAAGGGAAAAUUUUCUUCAUAUAUUCCAGCCAAAAUAACGGAUUGCAACAGAAAGAAUGCCAAAGCAUAUAUGAAAAUCCAGAUGUCCUAUUAAGCCAGAUGGGAACAGUACACAAGAAUAUAACUUCCAAAGCACAGAGAGAUGGGGUAACUCAAAGUUGCAUGACUGGGUGUGGUAGGAUCAGAAUUUAACCUCAGGUAUUGCCAACUUUCAUUUGGAAUAUGGGAGCCUUGGAUCAAGAAACAAACUCAUUUUAAUUCUGUGACUUUUAGG